GACGAACGCUGGCGGCGUGCUUAACACAUGCAAGUCGAACGAGAUCCAUGUUGUAGCAAUACUUCGGAAGAUCUAGUGGCGAACGGGUGAGGAACACGUGAGGAACCUGCCCCGGACUUCGGGAUAACAGUUGGAAACGAUUGCUAAUACCGAAUACCUCUGCGAAGUGGCAUCACUUUGCAAAGAAAGAAUUUCGGUCCGGGGGGGUCUCGCGGCCUAUCAGCUAGUUGGUGGGGGAACGGCCGACCAAGGCAUCGACGGGUAGCGGGUCUGAGAGAAUGACCAGCCACACUGGGACUAGGACACGGCCCAGACUCCUACGGGAGGCAGCAGUGGGGAAUCUUGUGCAAUGGGCGAAAGCCGGACACAGCAACGCCGCGUGCGGGAAGAAGACCUUCGGGUCGUAAACCGCUUUCAGCAGGAACGAAAAUGACGGUACCUGCAGAAGAAGGUGCGGCCAACUACGUGCCAGCAGCCGCCGUAA
rnacentral:rRNA from 1 species